rnacentral:rRNA from 1 species
AGAGUUUGAUCCUGGCUCAGGAUGAACGCUAGCGACAGGCUUAACACAUGCAAGUCGAGGGGCAGCACAGGUAGCAAUACCGGGUGGCGACCGGCGCACGGGUGAGUAACGCGUAUGCAACUUGCCUAUCAGAGGGGGAUAACCCGGCGAAAGUCGGACUAAUACCGCAUGAAGCAGGGAUCCCGCAUGGGAAUAUUUGCUAAAGAUUCAUCGCUGAUAGAUAGGCAUGCGUUCCAUUAGGCAGUUGGCGGGGUAACGGCCCACCAAACCGACGAUGGAUAGGGGUUCUGAGAGGAAGGUCCCCCACAUUGGUACUGAGACACGGACCAAACUCCUACGGGAGGCAGCAGUGAGGAAUAUUGGUCAAUGGGCGCGAGCCUGAACCAGCCAAGUCGCGUGAGGGAUGAAGGUUCUAUGGAUCGUAAACCUCUUUUAUAAGGGAAUAAAGUGCGGGACGUGUCCCGUUUUGUAUGUACCUUAUGAAUAAGGAUCGGCUAACUCCGUGCCAGCAGCCGCGGUAAUACGGAGGAUCCGAGCGUUAUCCGGAUUUAUUGGGUUUAAAGGGUGCGUAGGCGGCCUUUUAAGUCAGCGGUGAAAGUCUGUGGCUCAACCAUAGAAUUGCCGUUGAAACUGGGGGGCUUGAGUAUGUUUGAGGCAGGCGGAAUGCGGGGUGUAGCGGGGAAAUGCUUAGAUAUCACGCAGAACCCCGAUUGCGAAGGCAGCCUGCCAAGCCAUGACUGACGCUGAUGCACGAAAGAGGGGGGAUCAAACAGGGUUAGAUACCCUGGUAGUCCACGCAGUAAACGAUGAUCACUAGCUGUUUGCGAUACACUGUAAGCGGCACAGCGAAAGCGUUAAGUGAUCCACCUGGGGAGUACGCCGGCAACGGUGAAACUCAAAGGAAUUGACGGGGGCCCGCACAAGCGGAGGAACAUGUGGUUUAAUUCGAUGAUACGCGAGGAACCUUACCCGGGUUUGAACGCAUUCGGACCGAGGUGGAAACACCUUUUCUAGCAAUAGCCGUUUGCGAGGUGCUGCAUGGUUGUCGUCAGCUCGUGCCGUGAGGUGUCGGCUUAAGUGCCAUAACGAGCGCAACCCUUGCCACUAGUUACUAACAGGUAAAGCUGAGGACUCUGGUGGGACUGCCAGCGUAAGCUGCGAGGAAGGCGGGGAUGACGUCAAAUCAGCACGGCCCUUACGUCCGGGGCUACACACGUGUUACAAUGGCGUGGACAAAGGGAUGCCACCUGGCGACAGGGAGCGAAUCCCCAAACCACGUCUCAGUUCGGAUCGGAGUCUGCAACCCGACUCCGUGAAGCUGGAUUCGCUAGUAAUCGCGCAUCAGC